CUCCUAUGAGGAUCCUGGUGACUGUAUUUGGCUACCUGGAUAAUACAGAAUACUCUCCCCAUCUCUGAGAUUCUUAAUCCCAUCUGCAAGGUCUCCUUUGUUCUGUGACAUAUUCUAAGGUUCUGAGGAUUAGAUUAUGGACAUCUCUGGGAGAAGGAUAGAUAUUGAUCCUAUCAGAGAAGGCCUCUUAAGCACUAUGAUCUAUAUACUCUCAAAAAACCCAAGGAAUAUAGGGCUCUUGUUUUAGAAAUGGAACCUAAUAGUCUAAACAUAACUUCCUAAGUCUUAACAACAAAUCCUUGAGUAUAUGUAUUUUUACAUAGCAAUUCUAUAACCCAAAGACUGAAACACUCAAUUUCUAUAACUCAAGGAUUUCUGGACUAUUUCCUAAUGUAUAGACAUUAGAGUGGAUGAGGUGGAGAUGGCAAGUAGUAUUUCUCCAUUGCUAAAUGUUUUUUUAGAGAACAGUCCUAAAAGCUAUUCUUUUAAGAUCUUUCAAAAUCAUGCAACAGUCUAGAAAUAGCUCAGUUUAUCAAAGAUUAAUUACAUUCUCUCUCACAGGCUGAUGGAAAAUGCAUUGGAGUCUAAUCCAGAAUCACAGCCAGAAAUCUAGAGUCACAAGAAUUCACAAGUCCAUGAAUUUCACCAAGAUCCUUUUUUAUGCCCCUCCUCAAAUUCAAUGUACAGCAGAGAGAGCCGUCUCUUUGGACAAACAGACAUGGACCCAUCUUCUUGAGGACCACUGCAACUGUCUCGGAAGCCGUUGGUAGGGCUGCCGUAAUAAAGUACCACAAAUUGAGUGUUUUAAAAAGAAAUUGUUUCGCUGUUCUGAAGGUUAGGAGUCUAAAAUAUAUGCUUUAGCAGGGCUGGUUCCUUCAAAGAGUUGUGAGGCAGAAAUCUGUUUCAUGCCUCUCUCCUAGUUUCUGGUGGUUUGCUGGUAAUCUUUGGUGUUCCUUGGGUGGUAGAAACAUUGCUCCGAUUUCUGCCAUUAUCUUCACACAGUGUUAUACUUGUGUGCAUGUCUAUUUUCAAUUUCCCCUUUUUAUAAAAAUACCAAUUUUACUGGCUUGGAACCCACCCUAACAACCUCAUUUGAACAUUAUUUCUGUAAAGACCCUGUCUCCAAAUAAAGUCACGUUGUGAGGUACUGGGGAUUAGGAU
rnacentral:lncRNA from 1 species